UAAGUAAGCUUUGAUCCAGAGAUUUCCGAAUGGGGAAACCCAGCAUGAGUUAUGUCAUGUUAUCGAUAUGUGAAUACAUAGCAUAUCAGAAGGCACACCCGGAGAACUGAAACAUCUUAGUACCCGGAGGAAGAGAAAGAAAAUUCGAUUCCCUUAGUAGCGGCGAGCGAAACGGGAAGAGCCCAAACCAACAAGCUUGCUUGUUGGGGUUGUAGGACACUCUAUACGGAGUUACAAAGGACGACAUUAGACGAAUCAUCUGGAAAGAUGAAUCAAAGAAGGUAAUAAUC
rnacentral:rRNA from 1 species